CACACACACACACACACACACACACACAUGCAGGAAGAGUGAGCUGUGUGUGGUAGUAGCAGUAGCCCAGCUGUGUGCUGAUGUGGCUCUUCUGUCAUGUAGGGGUCACGACCUCUUUAGCCCUUAGCCCUGCUAACCCUUGGCUGCACAGACGUCACGGGUCAGACCCGAGAGCUCAUCUCACCCUUGGGUGCACAGACGUCACGGGUCAGACCCGGAGAGCUCACCUCACCCAGGCUGGAGAACCGCAUUGCUGGUGCAUCUCACUCAUGUUGUAUGUAUCUGUGUGUUUGAGCGUGUGUGUGCAAUAUUGAAGCAAUAUAUCAAUUCGAGGCGGCGAGAAGCCAUUAAGGUGUGUCCUAUGGUGGACCACUGCAGUCAGUGAUGGUCACUGAUGAAGACCACUGCAGUCCGUGAUGGUCACUGAUGAAGACCACUGCAGUCCGUGAUGGUCACUGAUGAAGACCACUGCAGUCCGUGAUGGUCACUGAUGAAGACCACUGCAGUCUGAGUCAGUGAUGGUCACUGCUGAAGACCACUGCAGUCAGAGUCAGUGAUGGUCACUGCAGUCAGUGAUGGUCAUUGGUGAAGACCACUGCAGGCAGAGUCAGUGAUGGUCACUGGUGGAGACCACUGGCCUAGUGAUGUGGAAGGUCACUGGUCAAAAUGGCUAUGGUCUCUCCCACUGAGGUGCUCCGGUGAGCAGCUCUGCAGGCAGGUUGCGUUGCACUCCGUGGGCUGGGAGGCGCAGGGAAGGAGGCGCAGGUUCCCUGGAGGCUCCAGAGCUGCGUUGAUGAGGAGAGGAGAGGAGCUACCGCCAGGACGACACGCAUGUUACACUGGAAUCCCCCCCACCCCCCAAUCACUACUUACGGAUGCUGGGGUGCCCAGCUGAGAGAUAGACUCAGCGGAUCGACACUUACCCCACCCCACCCCCGAAGGAAUGCCUCACCGUAAUCUAACCCCCCCCCCCGAAGGAAUGCCUCACCGUAAUCUACUUGAAUCUACAGGAGAUCUCUAAGACACACAAUGCUACAUUAAAGGACAAACAGGAGCCAAGGCUAAACCAGCUCCUCAGCAGAGGCUAGACUGUAGAAUCUGUGUGUGAGCGUGUGUGUCUGUAUGUGUCCGUGAGCGUGUGUGUGCGUGCGUGCGUGUGUGUAUAUGUGUGUUGUUCUUAGUAAGAGAAUUUACUGGAGCACUUUGUUUCCAAGGAAGUGAAAAGGAAAUGUGUGGAGAUAAGAGGAGAGGAGAGGAGAACUGUACCUUUGCUGCUGGUCUAGGAGGCCCAGCGCCGCCCGGUCGGACUCUCCCAAUGAUGGGGUCCGUGGAGCCGCCCGGUCGGACUCAGAGAACACCUUCAUGUGGUUGUUUCACGAGCUUUAUUUCAAGAAGUCAAAUAGGAGUUAGAGAUUUUUUAAAGUGGUUUGACGAUGCAACCAAUAUUCUGUUAAAUGUGAUAGUGUUCAGUGUGCCUUUUCUUCCUUUCUUUCUUCCUUCCUUUCUUUCUAAAUUAAGAUUUGAAGAACUUUAUUUUUCAGCUCGAUUCCUCUCUCAUUUUUUUUAUGUUGGAAUUCCUACAGAACACGUGCGAGUCGACCCAGGUUUUUCCAGAGGUACAAAACCAAAGUCUCCUCCGAAGUCUGUCAGGACGGCGCCACCAUGUGGUGCCUGGACUUCUUUGUUAGCUUUUUCCACAGUGUACUUUUUUCUUUUGGUUGUUUGUUUUGGUCAAUCAGUAUAUGCCGUUGAAAAGUAUUCUAGCAAUAUUUCUUGAAUCCUAGUUCUAAUGAAUAUGAGAAUAGUGAACGUACUACAGAAUCAUAAUCACACCCUUGCUGGCAAACACCAUUCAGUUUGACAUCCAACUUUACAUUAACCUUCAUGGUCACCACACAUAAGCUAACUUGCUGUAG
ensembl:lncRNA